rnacentral:rRNA from 1 species
UACGUAGGGUGCAAGCGUUGUCCGGAAUUAUUGGGCGUAAAGAGCUUGUAGGCGGUUUGUCGCGUCUGCUGUGAAAUUUCGGGGCUCAACCCCGAACUUGCAGUGGGUACGGGCAGACUAGAGUGUGGUAGGGGAGACUGGAAUUCCUGGUGUAGCGGUGAAAUGCGCAGAUAUCAGGAGGAACACCGGUGGCGAAGGCGGGUCUCUGGACCGAUACUGACGCUGAGGAGCGAAAGCGUGGGGAGCGAACAGG